rnacentral:rRNA from 1 species
GCAUAUCAAUAAGCGGAGGAAAAGAAACCAACAGGGAUUGCCCCAGUAGCGGCGAGUGAAGCGGCAAGAGCUCAGAUUUGAAAUCGUGUUUCGGCACGAGUUGUAGAGUGUAGGCGGGAGUCUCUGUGGAGCGCGGUGUCCAAGUCCCUUGGAACAGGGUGCCUGAGAGGGUGAGAGCCCCGUAGGGUGCUGCGCGAAGCUUUUGAGGCCCUGCUGACGAGUCGAGUUGUUUGGGAAUGCAGCUCCAAGCGGGUGGUAAAUUCCAUCUAAGGCUAAAUAUUGGCGAGAGACCGAUAGCGAACAAGUACUGUGAAGGAAAGAUGAAAAGCACUUUGAAAAGAGAGUGAGACAGCACGUGAAAUUGUUGAAAGGGAAGGGUAUUGGGCUCGACAUGGGGGGUGCGCACCGCUGUCUCUUGUAGGCGGCGCUCUGGGCGCCCUCUGGGCCAGCAUCGGUUCCUGCUGCGGGAGAAGGGGCUCCGGAAAGUGGCUCUUCGGAGUGUUAUAGCCGGGGCCAGAUGCCGCGUGUGGGGACCGAGGACUGCGGCUUCUGUCUCGGAUGCUGGCAUAACGGCGCAAUACCGCCCGUCUU